GCAGGAGCUCCUAGACGCCUGCAGGGGAGUUCCCAACUUUCCCAGCCGCUUUGCAAAUUCUCACCAAACUUAUCCGGAGUUUGCCAGACUAGUAUGCAGUCAAAGGCAACCUCAUGAGCUACAUGGGAACAGAAGGAACAGAACAGUGACAGGAUUUUUUUUCUUGGAUCUGGCCAUUAGACAAGAUUUAGAAUACUGUUCUGCCCCCAACAAAAAGGAGAAAAGGAAAAAAAGGCCUCUGAUAAAACAACCAACCAACCAACCAGCCACCUAGGAGUUGUGAACCCACAGUUUACUCCCCGAAAUCACCACAGGACUGCUUGAGGAGGAAUCUGAACCGUCACCCUAUGAGAUCAUGUACAUGCCCACAUUCCAUAACACCAUGUGGCAGCUUAAUAACAUGUUGCGUGAAGAACCAUCUUCCUUGGUUUGCUCUGAAUAUCACUGGUUUUAUUUUAUGCCUCUCAUUUUUAUGGUGGAACUGAAAUAAAUCCCUAUCCACAUUC